UACGGGAGGCAGCAGUGAGGAAUAUUGGACAAUGGGUGAGAGCCUGAUCCAGCCAUCCCGCGUGAAGGAUUAAGGUCCUAUGGAUUGUAAACUUCUUUUGUAUAGGGAUAAACCUACUCUCGUGAGAGUAGCUGAAGGUACUAUACGAAUAAGCACCGGCUAACUCCGUGCCAGCAGCCGCGGU
rnacentral:rRNA from 1 species